AAAAAACCUCCCCGCCGGAAGAUCAAGGUUUCCUGUCCAACGCUAAUCGGGACAGGGUGAGUCGGCCCCUAAGGCGAGGCAGAAAUGCGUAGUCGAUGGGAAGCGGGUUAAUAUUCCUGCACUUCUUAUUAUUCGAUGGAGGGACGGAGUAGGCUAGGCCGGCAGGGCGUUGGUUGUCCCUGUUUAAGGUUGUAGGCUGGGAUCUUAGGUAAAUCCGGGGUCCUAAGGCUGAGAGCUGAUGACGAGUGUCACCGCAAGGUGACGCGAAGUGGUUGAUGCCAUGCUUCCAAGAAAAGCUUCUAAGCUUCAGAUAGUAAGGAACCGUACUGUAAACCGACACAGGUGAUCAGGUAGAGAAUACCAAGGCGCUUGAGAGAACUCGGGUGAAGGAACUAGGCAAAAUGGCACCGUAACUUCGGGAGAAGGUGCGCCGGCUGUGGUGAUGGGACUUGCUCCCUGAGCUGCGGCUGGUCGAAGUAACCAGGCCGCUGCGACUGUUUAUUAAAAACAUAGCACUCUGCAAACACGUAAGUGGACGUAUAGGGUGUGACGCCUCCCCGGUGCCGGAAGGUUAAUUGAUGGGGUUAUCUUCGGAGAAGCUCUUGAUCGAAGCCCCGGUAAACGGCGGCCGUAACAAUAACGGUCCUAAGGUAGCGAAAUUCCUUGUCGGGUAAGUUCCGACCUGCACGAAUGGCGUAACGAUGGCGGCGCUGUCUCCACCCGAGACUCAGUGAAAUUGAAAUCGCUGUUAAGAUGCAGUGUACCCGCGGCUAGACGGAAAGACCCCGUGAACCUUUACUAUAGCUUCACACUGGACUUUGACCUUAUUUGUGUAGGAUAGCUGGGAUGCUUUGAAGCGGUGGCGCCAGCCAUCGUGGAGCCGACCUUGAAAUACCAGCCUGGUAAUGUUGGGGUUCUAACCCAGACCUGUAAUCCAGGUCGGGGACAGUGUGUGGUGGGUAGUUUGACUGGGGCGGUCUCCUCCCAAAGAGUAACGGAGGAGCACGAAGGUUGGCUAAUCCUGGUCGGAAAUCAGGAGGUUAGUGUAAUGGCACAAGCCAGCUUGACUGCGAGACUGACAAGUCGAGCAGGUACGAAAGUAGGUCAUAGUGAUCCGGUGGUUCUGUAUGGAAGGGCCAUCGCUCAACGGAUAAAAGGUACUCCGGGAUAACAGGCUGAUACCGCCCAAGAGUUCACAUCGACGGCGGUGUUUGGCACCUCGAUGUCGGCUCAUCACAUCCUGGGGCUGAAGCCGGUCCCAAGGGUAUGGCUGUUCGCCAUUUAAAGUGGUACGCGAGCUGGGUUUAGAACGUCGUGAGACAGUUCGGUCCCUAUCUGCCGUGGGCGUUGGAGAAUUGAGGGAAGCUGCUCCUAGUACGAGAGGACCGGAGUGGACGAACCCCUGGUGUUCGGGUUGUCACGCCAGUGGCAUUGCCCGGUAGCUACGUUCGGACAGGAUAACCGCUGAAAGCAUCUAAGCGGGAAGCCCCUCCCAAGACUAGUUCUCCCUGGGACUUUACGUCCCCUGAAGGGCCGUCCAAGACCAGGACGUUGAUAGGCUGGGUGUGUAAGCGCUGUGAGGCGUUGAGCUAACCAGUACUAAUUGCCCGUGAGGCUUGACC
rnacentral:rRNA from 1 species